AACGAACGCUGGCGGCAGGCCUAACACAUGCAAGUCGAGCGCUCCUCUUCGGAGGGGAGCGGCGAACGGGUGAGUAACGCGUGGGAACGUACCUUUCGGUUCGGGACAACCCUGGGAAACUGGGGCUAAUACCGGAUACGCUCUACGGAGGAAAGAUUUAUCGCCGAGAGAUCGGCCCGCGUUGGAUUAGCUUGUUGGUGAGGUAAUGGCUCACCAAGGCUACGAUCUAUAGCUGGUCUGAGAGGAUGAUCAGCCACACUGGGACUGAGACACGGCCCAGACUCCUACGGGAGGCAGCAGUGGGGAAUCUUGGACAAUGGGGGCAACCCUGAUCCAGCCAUGCCGCGUGAGUGAAGAAGGCCUUAGGGUUGUAAAGCUCUUUCAGCAGGGACGAUAAUGACGGUACCUGCAGAAGAAGCCCCGGCUAACUCCGUGCCAGCAGCCGCGGUAA
rnacentral:rRNA from 1 species